ensembl:snRNA U7 U7 small nuclear RNA
GAGUGUUAAAGCUCUCUUAGAAUCUGUCUAGCAGGUUUUUCAGUCUCCACCAGAAGAACCCCC